rnacentral:rRNA from 1 species
GGCGAGUGAAGCGGCAACAGCUCAAAUUUGAAAUCUGGCUCCGGCCCGAGUUGUAAUUUGCAGAGGAAGCUUCUGGUGACGCGCCGUCUAAGUCCCCUGGAACGGGGCGCCGCAGCGGGUGAGAGCCCCAUCUGACGACCGCUGACCCAGUGUGAAGCUCCUUCGACGAGUCGAGUAGUUUGGGAAUGCUGCUCAAAAUGGGAGGUAAAUUCCUUCUAAAGCUAAAUACCGGCCAGAGACCGAUAGCGCACAAGUAGAGUGAUCGAAAGAUGAAAAGCACUUUGAAAAGAGGGUUAAACAGCACGUGAAAUUGUUGAAAGGGAAGCGCUCAUGACCAGACUUGCGCUGGGCUGAUCAUCCGGUGUUCUCACCGGUGCACUCUGCCCAGCUCAGGCCAGCAUCGGUUUCGGCGGGGGGAUAAAGGCGACGGGAACGUAGCUCCUCCGGGAGUGUUAUAGCCCGGCGUGCAAUACCCCCGCUGGGACCGAGGUCCGCGCUCUGCAAGGAUGCUGGCGUAAUGGUCAUCAGCGACCCGUCUUGAAACACGGACCAAGGAGUCAAGGUUUUGCGCGAGUGUUUGGGUGUCAAACCCGCACGCGUAAUGAAAGUGAACGUAGGUGAGAGCUUCGGCGCAUCAUCGACCGAUCCUGAUGUUCUCGGACGGAUUUGAGUAGGAGCGUUAAGCCUUGGACCCGAAAGAUGGUGAACUAUGCUUGGAUAGGGUGAAGCCAGAGGAAACUCUGGUGGAGGCUCGCAGCGGUUCUGACGUGCAAAUCGAUCGUCAAAUCUGAGCAU